GACGAACGCUGGCGGCGUGCCUAAUACAUGCAAGUCGAGCGAGCUUGCCUAGAUGAAUUUGGUGCUUGCACCGAAUGAAACUAGAUACAAGCGAGCGGCGGACGGGUGAGUAACACGUGGGUAACCUGCCCAAGAGACUAGGAUAACACCUGGAAACAGAUGCUAAUACCGGAUAACAACACUAGACGCAUGUCUAGAGUUUAAAAGAUGGUUCUGCUAUCACUCUUGGAUGGACCUGCGGUGCAUUAGCUAGUUGGUAAGGUAACGGCUUACCAAGGCAAUGAUGCAUAGCCGAGUUGAGAGACUGAUCGGCCACAUUGGGACUGAGACACGGCCCAAACUCCUACGGGAGGCAGCAGUAGGGAAUCUUCCACAAUGGACGCAAGUCUGAUGGAGCAACGCCGCGUGAGUGAAGAAGGGUUUCGGCUCGUAAAGCUCUGUUGGUAGUGAAGAAAGAUAGAGGUAGUAACUGGCCUUUAUUUGACGGUAAUUACUUAGAAAGUCACGGCUAACUACGUGCCAGCAGCCGCGGUAAUACGUAGGUGGCAAGCGUUGUCCGGAUUUAUUGGGCGUAAAGCGAGUGCAGGCGGUUCAAUAAGUCUGAUGUGAAAGCCUUCGGCUCAACCGGAGAAUUGCAUCAGAAACUGUUGAACUUGAGUGCAGAAGAGGAGAGUGGAACUCCAUGUGUAGCGGUGGAAUGCGUAGAUAUAUGGAAGAACACCAGUGGCGAAGGCGGCUCUCUGGUCUGCAACUGACGCUGAGGCUCGAAAGCAUGGGUAGCGAACAGG
rnacentral:rRNA from 1 species